CUAAGAGCACACAGGGGAUGCCCUGGCGCAGGUAGGCGAUGAAGGACGUGGCAAGCUGCGAUAAGCUCCGGGGAGCCGCUAAGCGGGCUUCGAUCCGGAGAUGUCCGAAUGGGGAAACCCACCGCGGUGAAGCCGCGGUAUCCUCAUCUGAAUACAUAGGGUGAGGAAGCGAACCCGGGGAAGGGAACCAUCUCAGUACCCGGAGGAAGUGAAAGCAACCGCGAUUCCCUGAGUAGCGGCGAGCGAAACGGGAACAGCCCAAACCGUUUGCAUGUUAAAGCCCUGGCGCGUUGUGCAAGCGGGGUCGAGGGACCUGACCUGGCUCCUGCCCGGAGGAGUCAGAGAGUCAAAAAGGGCAAUCUUAGCUGAAUACCAUGGAAAGGGUAACCAUAGAAGGUGAUAGUCCUGUAAGCGAAAAGAUUGUCUCUCUCAGUCAGGCACCCAAGUACCACGGGACACGUGGAAUCCUGUGGGAAUUCGGGAGGACCAUCUUCCAAGGCUAAAUACUAACCUGCGACCGAUAGUGCACAAGUACCGUGAGGGAAAGGUGAAAAGAACCCCUGUUAGGGGAGUGAAACAGAACCUGAAACUGUGUGCUUACAAGCAGUCGGAGCCUCCGCAAGGAGGUGACGGCGUGCCUUUUGCUUAAUGAGCCGGCUAGUUACUCUAAGCGGCGAGGUUAAUCUCUUAAAAGAGAGGAGCCGUAGCGAAAGCGAGUCCGAAUAGGGCGAUUAGUCGUUUGGAGUAGACGCGAAGCCGAGGUGAUCUACCCUUGGCCAGGAUGAACUGCGGGUAACACCGCAGGGAGGUCCGAACCGGUGUUGGUUGAAAACAGCUCGGAUGAGCUGAGGGUAGGGGUGAAAGGCUAAUCAAACUCGGAGAUAGCUCGUUCUCCCCGAAAUAGCUUUAGGGCUAGCCUCGCGUGAAUGGUAUAGGAGGUAGAGCACUGGAUGGCCUAGGGGGCCGAAAGGCCUUCCGAAUCCAACCAAACUUCGAAUUCCUAUAACCACUGCGCGGGAGUAAGACUGCGAGCACUAAGGUCCGUAGUCAAAAGGGAAACAGCCCAGACCGCCAGCUAAGGUCCCAGAAUGCAAGCUAAGUGGGCAAGGAUGUGGAAACGCUUAGACAACCAGGAGGUUGGCUUAGAAGCAGCCAUCCUUUAAAGAAAGCGUAACAGCUCACUGGUCAAGUAUUUCCGCGCCGACAAUGUAACGGGGCUAAGCUUGCUACCGAAGCUGCGGACUCCCGAUUCGUCGGGAUUGGUAGGGGAGCAUUCCGUGGGCAUUGAAGUGGGAUCGUGAGGUCUCAUGGAGCGCACGGAAGAGACUCUGCCGGCACGAGUAGCGAUAACUGCUGUAGAAACCAGCAGCGCCGAAAAUCUAAGGUUUCCUGGGGAAGGUCAGUCCGCCCAGGGUUAGUCGGUCCCUAAGCUGAGGCCGAAAGGCGUAAGCGAUGGAUAGCAGGUCAACAUUCCUGCACCACCUGGAGAACGUUUGUACGAUGGGGGGACGCAGAAGGAUAGGCGUACGUGCGGUUGGAAAUGCACGGCCGUUAAGUAGGAGGAGCUCCUAGGCAAAUCCGGGAGCUCGUUAACUCCGAAUACAACGGGGAAGCAGGGCUUCGGUCUUGUCAACUCGCUGAUUCCACGCUGCCAAGAAAAUCCUCUAAGGAGUUGUCCAGGUGACCGUACCGCAAACCGACACAGGUAGAUGAGGAGAGAAUCCUAAGGCGCACGUGUGAGCCCUCUCUAAGGAACUAGGCAAGUUGACCCCGUAACUUCGGGAGAAGGGGUGCCUCAGUAGGGUGUAGUUGUAUAAACAAAGCCCGAGGAGGCCGCAGAUAAAUGGCUCUUGCGACUGUUUAAUAAAAACACAGGACUCUGCAAAGACAUAAAAUCGAUGUAUAGGGUCUGACGCCUGCCCGGUGCCGGAAGGUUAAGGGGAGGGGUCAUCCUGCUUCGGCAGGAGAAGCUCUGAACCGAAGCCCCGGUAAACGGCGGCCGUAACUAUAGGCUGGACCGCUGUAGUUAUAAAACCUGACUAUAUGCUGGAAAAUCCGAGUAUCCGGCACUACUUGUUGCCUCGUUUUGGCUGACAAGUAACAAUGUGUCCGGUGCGGACAAUCAGCAGGAAAGGCUUUGUGAAAAGGAGACACGAAUGACUCUAAAUGUAAAAGCCAUUCCUCCUCGAAUAGGUUAUUAUCUUGCUGGUUUUGCUGAUGGGGAAGGAAGCUUCAAUGUUUCCUUCAGACCAAGAGAUGACUAUGCAAUUCCCUGGAAAGUUUCUCUCUGCUUCAAUAUUUCUCAAAAGGACAAAGUUAUCCUUACCCUCUUCAAGAAACACCUCAAUUGUGGAACGUUAAGAAGCAGGCCAGAUGGAGUUUGGUAUUAUGAGGUGAAUAAUUUCAGGGCUAUAGUUGAAAAUGUCAUCCCGUUUUUCGAUAGGUUCGGGUUCCUAUCAGCAAAAAAGAAGAGAGAUUUUUCCAAGUUCAAGAAGAUUGCUAGAAUGAUGCAGGAAAACCGUCAUCUGGAUAAAGAAGGUAUUCUCGAGAUCCUGGAAAUUAGAAAAGAGAUGAAUGACGGCGGCAAGAGAAAACACAGCGAGGCGGAAAUUAAAAAUCACCUUUUCAGUAAAGAAUCCUCAGAGACUAUACGUCAGGCUCUCCCAGAGAAAGAGGAGAGAUGAUAUAGUCCGUUCCCUUCAGCGAUGGAGGGCGCUCGGUAUUAGCACUGAGCAGUAUCUCUAAUAGAUACAACGUGAAGAACGGUCCUAAGGUUAGAAGAGCUAGCCUUAGUAAAAUCUGGCUAUAUGCUGGAAACCCUGUCCCCUUCAAAAGGGGUGAAGAACCCACGCUACUCCUAACGAGUAAAAAUGCGACGGGUGCAGGCAAUCAGCAGGAAAGGCCGAAGCAAAUGUUUCGGAGUCCU
rnacentral:rRNA from 1 species